UCCCUUCUUCCAGGUUUUGAGACACAGUCUAGGGGUCCAGAUAAAUAGUAGAUAUUUCAGAUCGUAGAGCAGAUUGUCCAGGGGCAGGGAUAAAUGGUCGACUACAUUCUCCUAUUCAUAAGGUAACAAUGGCUAGAGACAGUGAUAGAUUCUCCAUUCAAUUAUAAUCCCCAAAAGAACUUGUUGACGAAGAACAUCCUUUACUCUUUAAGCCCUAUGAAAGCGUUGGGUAUUUUAAAUAUGUCCAAAAAGCAGGCACUGGUGUUUUCAAGGCUUAUUGUGGUGUUUGAACGAGGGUCUGUCGGAAAAUAGUCUCUCUAUCUAUCACAAGGCGAGGGUAGAUCUGUGUGCUGUUAGCAUGAUAGACAACUCAAAGAUCAUGAAUUAAUAGUGAAUGUUGUAUAUAUUAAUGUAAUCUAUAUAUUAUAGUAUAUUUGUAAUUAUAGAGAUUUGAUGUAGUAAUUAAAGAGAUAGAAUAGCAGAUUAUAAGGACUAUUUAUAA